UACGUCAGCGGCAGACGGGUGAGUAACGCGUGGGAACAUACCUCUUGGUUCGGAACAACACAGGGAAACUUGUGCUAAUACCGGAUAAGCCCUUACGGGGAAAGAUUUAUCGCCGAGAGAUUGGCCCGCGUCUGAUUAGCUAGUUGGUAGGGUAAUGGCCUACCAAGGCGACGAUCAGUAGCUGGUCUGAGAGGAUGAUCAGCCACAUUGGGACUGAGACACGGCCCAAACUCCUACGGGAGGCAGCAGUGGGGAAUAUUGGACAAUGGGGGCAACCCUGAUCCAGCCAUGCCGCGUGAGUGAUGAAGGCCCUAGGGUUGUAAAGCUCUUUUGUGCGGGAAGAUAAUGACGGUACCGCAAGAAUAAGCCCCGGCUAACUUCGUGCCAGCAGCCGCGGUAAUACGAAGGGGGCUAGCGUUGCUCGGAAUCACUGGGCGUAAAGGGUGCGUAGGCGGGUUUUUAAGUCAGGGGUGAAAUCCUGGAGCUCAACUCCAGAACUGCCUUUGAUACUGAAGAUCUUGAGUCCGGGAGAGGUGAGUGGAACUGCGAGUGUANAGGUGAAAUUCGUAGAUAUUCGCAAGAACACCAGUGGCGAAGGCGGCUCACUGGCCCGGUACUGACGCUGAGGCACGAAAGCGUGGGGAGCAAACAGGA
rnacentral:rRNA from 1 species